AGUGAACGCUGGCGGUAGGCCUAACACAUGCAAGUCGAACGGCAGCACAGUAAGAGCUUGCUCUUACGGGUGGCGAGUGGCGGACGGGUGAGGAAUACAUCGGAAUCUACUUUUUCGUGGGGGAUAACGUAGGGAGACUUACGCUAAUACCGCAUACGACCUACGGGUGAAAGCAGGGGAUCUUCGGACCUUGCGCGAUUGAAUGAGCCGAUGUCGGAUUAGCUAGUUGGCGGGGUAAAGGCCCACCAAGGCGACGAUCCGUAGCUGGUCUGAGAGGAUGAUCAGCCACACUGGAACUGAGACACGGUCCAGACUCCUACGGGAGGCAGCAGUGGGGAAUAUUGGACAAAGGGCGCAAGCCUGAUCCAGCCAUACCGCGUGGGUGAAGAAGGCCUUCGGGUUGUAAAGCCCUUUUGUUGGGAAAGAGAAGCAGCAGGUUAAUACCCCGCUGUUCUGACGGUACCCAAAGAAUAAGCACCGGCUAACUUCGUG
rnacentral:rRNA from 1 species